GACGAACGCUGGCGGCGUGCUUAACACAUGCAAGUCGAACGGUGAAGCUCCAGCUUGCUGGAGUGGAUCAGUGGCGAACGGGUGAGUAACACGUGAGCAACCUGCCCCAGACUCUGGAAUAAGCGCUGGAAACGGCGUCUAAUACUGGAUACGAGAUCAAGCCGCAUGGUUAUGGUCUGGAAAGUUUUUCGGUUUGGGAUGGGCUCGCGGCCUAUCAGCUUGUUGGUGAGGUAAUGGCUCACCAAGGCGACGACGGGUAGCCGGCCUGAGAGGGCGACCGGCCACACUGGGACUGAGACACGGCCCAGACUCCUACGGGAGGCAACAGUGGGGAAUAUUGCACAAUGGGCGAAAGCCUGAUGCAGCGACGCCGCGUGAGGGAUGACGGCCUUCGGGUUGUAAACCUCUUUCAGCAGGGAAGAAGCGAAAGUGAUGGUACCUGCAGAAGAAGCACCGGCUAACUACGU
rnacentral:rRNA from 1 species